GAUAGAACCUGUGUCGUAACGGCCGCCUGCGGUUUGGUUCAAAAUUCGUACAAGCCCGAUAGUAACGACAAUCGAGAAGAGCACAGUAAAUGCUCCUCCCGCGGUAUUAGAUAACUCGGAUGUGAGUGCUUUACGAUAAAUCAUUCCAGGCUUACACGACGAUAACAAUCUGCACAGACGCAAAUUUGAAACUUUAAGUUUAGCAAGUUUGAAAAACUGUGGAUUUCUCUUUUUUACGUCUGUGCCGUCGGCCGCAAAGAAAAAUUACAACCUGCCUUCUUCUGCUGCGUGGCAGGCAACUUCCGCAAAGGACCCGUGUGAAUCAAUCAUUUGUCUGAGCGGCAUUUCCUUGCGGCAGCGUUCAUUGGCAAGCGGACAGCGGGGAUGGAACGGACAGCCUGUGGGCGGAGACAGCGGAUUAGGCACUUCGCCCGAAAUCGGCGUGCGUCUCCGAUGCGUCUGACUCAGAUCCGGAAUGGCGUCCAAAAGCAUCCUCGUAUAAGGAUGUCGAGGUUCGUUAAAGAGCGUUCGCUUAUCUGCUAGCUCAACCAGGCGCCCCAAAUACAUCACGCCGACGCGAUCGCUGAUGUGGUGCACAACCGAAAGAUUGUGAGAAAUAAACAAAUAAGUUAAGCCUACCUCUCUCUGCAGGUUCUGCAUCAAAUUCAGCACCUGGGCCUGAACGGAGACAUCCAGUGCACUGGUCGGCUAGAGUCAGUUGCCAUAGACCCGAAACCAGGUGACCUAGCCAUGUCCAGGAUGAAGUGGAGGUAAAGCUCCAUGGAGGUCCGAACCCACGUUCGUUGCAAUGACCGGGGAUGAGGUGUGGCUAGCGGUGAAAUUCCAAACGAACUUGGAGAUAGCUGGUUCUCCCCGAAAUAGCUUUAGGGCUAGCGUCAGUAAUGAGUUUAACGGAGGUAAAGCACUGAAUGGGCUAGGGGGCGAUAAGCUUACUGAACCCUAUCAAACUCUGAAUGCCGGCUAAUUGAUGAUCAGCAGUCAGACAGUGUGAGAUAAGUUUCAUUGUCAAAAGGGAAACAGCCCAGACCCACAGCUAAGGUCCCAAAUGUAUGCUAAGUGGAAAACGAUGUGGAGUUGCGAAAACAACCAGGAUGUUGGCUUAGAAGCAGCCAUUCAUUAAAAGAGUUCGUAAUAGAUCACUGGUCGAGUGACUCUGCGCGGAAAAUAUAACGGGGCUAAGUAUACAACCGAAGCUUGGGAAGUCAAAUGACUUGGUAGGGGAGCGUCGCAUACGGGGUGAAGUCGCAGCGGAAGCAGCGGUGGACUGUAUGGGAGUGAGAAUGCCGGAAUGAGUAGCGAGAAUUAUGUGGGAAUCAUAAUGGCCGAAAAUCUAAGGUUUCUUGGGGAAGGUUCGUCCGCCCAAGGUAAGUCGGGAGCUAAGCUCAGGCCGAGAGGCGUAGGCGAUGCACAUACGGUAGAAAUUCCGUAACCACCGAAACUUAAACAGAGGGACACUUCGAAAUAGCGGAACCCGGGCGUUGGUUGACCCGGGCGUAAGGGAGCGAAAUUAGAGUAGCGAAGUCCGCGAUGUUCGGAGGCGAGAAAAGCUCUGAGGUAUGCUAAGGUGCCCGUACCGCAAACCGACACAGGUAGAUGAGGAGAGAAUCCUAAGGCCAACGGGAGAAGGGUUGUUAAGGAACUCGGCAAAUUGACCCCGUAACUUCGGAAGAAGGGGAGCCCCCUACGGGGGGUCGCAGAGAAAUGGCCCAAGCAACUGUUUACCAAAAACACAGGUCUAUGCUAAAUCGAAAGAUGACGUAUAUGGGCUGACGCCUGCCCGGUGCCGGAAGGUUAAGAGGAGAUGUCAGGCAACGAAGCAUCGAAUUGAAGCCCCGGUAAACGGCGGCCGUAACUAUAACGGUCCUAAGGUAGCGAAAUUCCUUGUCAGGUAAGUUCUGACCCGCACGAAUGG
rnacentral:rRNA from 1 species